GUGACGAGUUUGAUCCUGGCUCAGAAUGAACGCUGGCGGCAGGCCUAACACAUGCAAGUCGAACGAAGCCUUCGGGCUUAGUGGCGGACGGGUGAGUAACGCGUGGGAACAUACCCAAAGGUACGGAAUAGCCUCGGGAAACUGGGAGUAAUACCGUAUGUGCCCUUCGGGGGAAAGAUUUAUCGCCUUUGGAUUGGCCCGCGUUGGAUUAGGUAGUUGGUGGGGUAAUGGCCUACCAAGCCGACGAUCCAUAGCUGGUUUGAGAGGAUGAUCAGCCACACUGGGACUGAGACACGGCCCAGACUCCUACGGGAGGCAGCAGUGGGGAAUCUUAGACAAUGGGCGCAAGCCUGAUCUAGCCAUGCCGCGUGAUCGAUGAAGGCCUUAGGGUUGUAAAGAUCUUUCAGAUGGGAAGAUAAUGACGGUACCAUCAGAAGAAGCCCCGGCUAACUCCGUG
rnacentral:rRNA from 1 species